GGGUAGGCAGGGGAAACCAGGGAAGUUAAAGGUCUGCUAGACUCCCAGGGAAAACAAAAGGUCAUUUCUAAGGAGGUCAACUAAGAAAGGACAAACCUGGCUAUUUUCUGCCAAACAACUUAUUAAGCAAGCAGGUCUUUGGACUUAGAUGCUGGGAAUGCAGAGAUAGAAGAUCUUGUCACUGAUCUCAAGAAGCUCACAGGCAGACAAGCAGUGAUCUGAAUGUCCUACAGCCCCUCUGUUCCUCUAGAAAUUACAAUAGCUAAAGAUGAAAUCCUCACCUUCUGAAAUCUACAGCAAGACAGAUGACAGCAUGAUGGAAGGAAAGAGUACGCUGAGUGCCUUAUCGAUCUACCUGCCAGCCCGUGAAUGGCAGCUUAAAGCAUAUUAAAAUAAGACCUUUUUCACCUUUUCAAAAGAAAGCUUGGCUGUCCUUUGGCGAACACUAACAAUUUACAAUGGCGUGGCCUUUGAGAAAACAGAAGUCAUUUUACAAAUUCACAACGCUCUUUUGAUUCGAAUGGAUGCCCCAUUUAAAAAAAAAAAAAAGAAGAAGCAUAACCUCUAGCAUCAUUUGUGUUCCAGCAAUUUACAAAAAGAACUCACAGGAUCUGGAAAUAAACAAGGAAGAGAAUCAUUCCACAGGUAAAGAGUUUGGAAACCACCACUCCAGUUACUCCCAGUAACUAAGGUCUCCAUUGUGAAAUGAGAUCAUGGCU